AAGAAGAAAGUUCAACACUCAAUUUAGCACAUGAAACACUAAUGUGAUGUUUAACUAGAGUCGUUUUUGCUUAUUCGUAUGGUUGAAUUGGAUCAUCAAGCUCAGCAGCAAAGACAUUGAGGUUUUGACGGAAGUGACACGAGCUCAGGGCAGAUAUUCACCAGCAGACAGAGAGAGAAAAUAAGACGGAGAAGAGAAGGGACAACUGAUGUCUAACAACGUCCGCAAAUGAAGUUGCUGAGGUGGUAUGGAUGGUUUUCCAAUCAAAUGAAAGUGAACUGAAGUGGUCUAUCGUGGCAUUGUGGGAUAUUUCUUAAUAUACGAGAUGUAAUUCUGACCUUCUUUGGUUUGAGCUCCACCGGUGUUAUCCUGG